GGCGUUAAGUUGCAGGGUAUAGACCCGAAACCCGGUGAUCUAGCCAUGGGCAGGUUGAAGGUUGGGUAACACUAACUGGAGGACCGAACCGACUAAUGUUGAAAAAUUAGCGGAUGACCUGUGGCUGGGGGUGAAAGGCCAAUCAAACCGGGAGAUAGCUGGUUCUCCCCGAAAGCUAUUUAGGUAGCGCCUCGUGAAUUCAUCUCCGGGGGUAGAGCACUGUUUCGGCUAGGGGGCCAUCCCGGCUUACCAACCCGAUGCAAACUGCGAAUACCGGAGAAUGUUAUCACGGGAGACACACGGCGGGUGCUAACGUCCGUCGUGAAGAGGGAAACAACCCAGACCGCCAGCUAAGGUCCCAAAGUCAUGGUUAAGUGGGAAACGAUGUGGGAAGGCCCAGACAGCCAGGAUGUUGGCUUAGAAGCAGCCAUCAUUUAAAGAAAGCGUAAUAGCUCACUGGUCGAGUCGGCCUGCGCGGAAGAUGUAACGGGGCUAAACCAUGCACCGAAGCUGCGGCAGCGACGCUGAUGCGUUGUUGGGUAGGGGAGCGUUCUGUAAGCCUGUGAAGGUGGCCUGUGAGGGUUGCUGGAGGUAUCAGAAGUGCGAAUGCUGACAUAAGUAACGAUAAAGCGGGUGAAAAGCCCGCUCGCCGGAAGACCAAGGGUUCCUGUCCAACGUUAAUCGGGGCAGGGUGAGUCGACCCCUAAGGCGAGGCCGAAAGGCGUAGUCGAUGGGAAACGGGUUAAUAUUCCCGUACUUGGUGUUACUGCGAAGGGGGGACGGAGAAGGCUAUGUUGGCCGGGCGACGGUU
rnacentral:rRNA from 1 species